GACGAACGCUGGCGGCGUGCCUAAUACAUGCAAGUAGAACGCAGUUGCGAACGGGUGAGUAACGCGUAGGUACCUGCCUCAUCGCGGGGGAUAACUAUUGGAAACGAUAGCUAAUACCGCAUACUGUGGGAUGGACCUGCGUUGUAUUAGCUAGUUGUUGAGGUAAAGGCUCACCAAGGCGACGAUACAUAGCCGGAGUGAGAGGGUUAUCGGCCACGAUGGGACUGAGGCACUGCCCAGGCUCCUACGGGAGGCAGAAGUAGGGAAUCUUCGGCAAGGGACGGAAGUCUGACCGAGCAACGCCGCGUGAGGGUAGGAGGUUUUCGGAUUGUAAAGCUCUGUUGAUAGAGAAGCGGUACCUAACCAGAAAGGGACGGCUAACUACGUGCCAGCAGCCGCGGUAAUAC
rnacentral:rRNA from 1 species